rnacentral:tRNA from 1 species
AGCAUUAGCUCAGUCGGAUAGAGCGUCUCCCUCCUAAGGAGAAGGCCGGGGGUUCGAUUCCUCCAUGCUG